rnacentral:rRNA from 1 species
UACGUAGGGUGCGAGCGUUGUCCGGAAUUAUUGGGCGUAAAGAGCUUGUAGGCGGUUUGUCGCGUCUGCCGUGAAAACCCGGGGCUCAACCCCGGGCCUGCAUUCGAUACGGGCAGACUAGAGUUCGGUAGGGGAGUCUGGAAUUCCUGGUGUAGCGGUGAAAUGCGCAGAUAUCAGGAGGAACACCGGUGGCGAAGGCGGGACUCUGGGCCGAUACUGAUGCUGAGGAGCGAAAGCGUGGGGAGCGAACAGG